GACAGGGGUCUCAAGCGUUAAUCGGAAUUACUGGGCGUAAAGCGUGCGUAGACGGUUAUUUAAGUCGGAUGUGAAAGCCCCGGGCUCAACCUGGGAAUUGCAUUCGAGACUGAAUAGCUAGGGUGCGGUAGAGGGAAGCGGAAUUUCCGGUGUAGCGGUGAAAUGCGUAGAUAUCGGAAGGAACAUCAGUGGCGAAAGCGGCUUCCUGGACCAGCACCGACGUUCAGGCACGAAAGCGUGGGGAGCAAACAGG
rnacentral:rRNA from 1 species